rnacentral:rRNA from 1 species
AUUGAACGCUGGCGGCAGGCUUAACACAUGCAAGUCGAGCGGGGACUUCGGUCCUAGCGGCGAACGGGUGAGGAAUGCUUGGGAAUCUGCCUGGUAGUGGGGGAUAACGUUUCGAAAGGAACGCUAAUACCGCAUACGUCCUACGGGAGAAAGGGGGGGAUCUUCGGACCUCUCGCUAUCAGAUGAGCCCAAGUCGGAUUAGCUAGUUGGUGAGGUAAAGGCUCACCAAGGCGACGAUCCGUAGCUGGUCUGAGAGGAUGAUCAGCCACACUGGAACUGAGACACGGUCCAGACUCCUACGGGAGGCAGCAGUGGGGAAUAUUGGACAAUGGGCGAAAGCCUGAUCCAGCCAUGCCGCGUGUGUGAAGAAGGCCUUCGGGUUGUAAAGCACUUUAAGCGAGGAGGAAUGGCUCUGGGUUAAUACCCUUGAGCAGUGACGUUACUCGCAGAAUAAGCACCGGCUAACUCUGUGCCAGCCGCCGCGGUAAAAC